AGGCAAAUGCACGAGUUUGCGAGAGGCGGGUGCGGGCGGGCAGGGAGUUGCCAUCACGGGGUGGGCGAGGUCCAGAGCCGCCUGGGGAGGGCCCUGCGUCUCGUGGGAGGGGGCUGAGGACACCCCCGAAGGUGAGGGGGCGCCCAGGGCGCAGGCGCGGGGAGGGUGGGGGGCCGCCUGGUUCCCCGCGGCUCUCGUGCCCCUCGCCCCGCCUCACACACUAGCUGCCUUCACAGGAAGCGCGCGGCUGUUUGCGUAGAUGAUGAAGCAGACGGGUUAUCUUGUCCAAAAGAUAAAAUGCGCAUUUCCCUUCUAAAGUAUGGAACCUCAAGGUCUUGGUGAUAAUGGAAACAAAAAAAUUGAUUGGCAAAUCGCUUCAACCAGCAAGACCUGUUCGUCAUCUGACUUCUCCCUCUGGAGCAGUAUUCCCUUUCAACUUUCAAAAUGAAUAUCCAUGCAACACUCAGUACUUGCAAAGCGGAGUUAGCCGAUGUAAGACGAAUGGAAUGCAGGCCUUUUCUCCGGGCCUCAGCGAGCAAACGCAACAUCAGUCUCCAGUUAAAAAAGAGAGAAUUAAAUACAGCAGAGAUUUCCUAUUGAAGCUCUCCAGUGUUUCCAUCUGCAGGAAAAAACCAGACUUUCUUCCUGAUCAUCCCAUUGUACUUCAAAAACCAGAAAACAACCAAAGUUUUAAGGAGCACUUUAAGAACAGAUGAAUUUGAAGAUAGAUAAUUAUUUUAUGUUUUGGACACCUGCAAAUGAAGUGGAUCUAGUAACAAUAACUGUAAUGGACUGUGACAAUUCAAUUUAUUUUUAAUUUUGAUGGUUGGGUAUUUGGUUUCUCCUAAAAUGAGAGAGAGAUAUUUUAAACUAUAAAGAAUUUUCUAAUCAGUUUCAGCUUUUCAAGCGCUUUCCUAAAUAUAUUGGGAAGAAGCACUCACAAAUAAAAAUGUGGUUAGUGACAUGGGAAGACUGUACUUAUAAUUUGCAUGUUACUUUCAGUUUUUGUUUUUCAUCACUUGUAAUAAUGGAAUGGAAAUACCAGCACUGAGAGGGUCUCUUCAACCUUCAGCUGAGGACGCAUCUGCGCAGGGCAGUCUCAGUGACACGGGGGGAUGUUUAGAUAGUCUUUGCAGAUAGAUGUUUCCAAUAACAUUGUCUAAGGAUCACAGUUACCAGCAAAGGGUGACAAUUUGGAAACAAUAGCAGUGAACAAAACUGAAGGUGAAAAGUGCUGAUCAGACCCCAUGAACAAAAGUAAUUGCAAAACCCAUUCUUAUUUCCAAAGAGGAAAAAUUAGGCAUUUGCAACCAGUUGAUGUGCAUUAAGAUUCAGUUCUGUAAUUUCUUUUAUUUCUUAUAACAAGAAUAUGUAUAGAUGAAGAAUUUGAGGGCUUAAAAACUUUUAGUUCCUGGAAUUUUUAUACCAUCUCUUGGAAUUUGUCACUCUGGAUAUGACUUCUAGUCCUAAAAGUUCACUCCAGCACAGUGCCAAACAGUAUUGCUGACAGAAAGGUAAGUGCAAACUUCCCCAACUCCGGUUCUCUCAGAAGCUCUCGUCUUCAGGGCUGCUGGGUGGCAUGGAAGGCCAUCAUUUGGCAGGAAGGUUUAGGUUGAAUCCUCACCUCCUAACAACAGGACAUUUCUGUUCACUGGCAUUUGGGCUUGUUACCAGAUUAAAGCUUUAAGUACAUGUAGGUCUCCCUCCUUGAUCUCUCGGUAUCCACCAUACUUUUCAUGGCUUUGUUCCCCAGAAAAGUAAGUAGAUUGUGUUUUAAAUAGAGAAAACUUCAUUAAGCAUACUUUUAUUGGUCACUUUAAAUUAGAUAGUAAUCCCCGGGCCAUUUCCCCUACUAUUUGCCCUUAUAUUAUAGGUUCCCUUAUAUAGAUGUGUGUAAAUAAAUACACAGAUGCUCUAUCACACAAAAAUAGAUGUAUAAUCUGUGUAAGAGCUCUUUAUUUUCUGCCUAUUCUCAAGGUCUUUUAAUUCUAGUUAACAAGACAAUAGGAAUGAUUCCAAUUUGGAACCUGCAGGGCCCUUCCGCCUGGCGCUGCUGCUAAGAGCAGCACCUCCCAGUCACGCUGCCAAGCUCCGUGGGGAACUGCCUCAUCCCCAAAGGUGGAGUGCACCUUCUGAGUCUGACACUGACAUGGACUGGCCAGAAUAACACUGCUAUUGGCUGUAGUUUAUAUUUUGAAACCAUUUAUAACCUGUGUUUCAAGAAGAGUUUGUGUGUCAACAGUCCCCUGGGUUUCCAUCUCUUCCUCCUUUGUUACUGUAUAUAAUCAGAGCAAAGAUGUUUAUUAUCUGCAUACCUUGUACAUGUGUAUGGUUUGAAUAGUCACUGUAGGUGUCCAUUAUCCACUGAUGUUCUUUGCUAGGUAGAUAAAGGAAACGUUGAGCCAGGGGUUUUCCUUAGUGUUUCUCCUCUUUAGAAGUGACCUGAGACACAUGUAUGUGGUUGUGUGUGCAUUAUGUCAGCAUUUAUGACCUACAUCUAGGUAGAUCCUAUGGCAAAAUUCUUUCAUUUAGAUUGAAUGAGGACUGUGGGUAUACAAAGGUAUUGAUAAAAGUUAAUACUCCAUGAAUCAGUUGGAGAAAAUAUUUUAGGUUUUAUAUUUAAAUUUUUUGUGUGUUCAGACUUCCUUUUUUUCUGAAUUUUCCAACAGGAAAACAAAAACAAACAAACAAACAAAAAAAAAAAACAGGAAAUAUUUACCUCACAGUUUUUUUCCUGGAAGACCUGUGGUUUCAAAGGAAUUUGGACUACAGAAUAGUAUAGUAGCAAAUUUCUAUACACAUUAUAUUUUCAUUAGCAACAUUUAUCAUCAAAAGAGAUUUUACUAUGAAAAAUAUUUAACUUAUGAGCUUAGACAGUGGAGCGUCUGAGGCAGUGGCAGUGGGACUGGGUUGUGGUCAUUCCACUGUGAAUCUGUAAACUGUAUCUGUGCAGCACCUGCCCUAUUUUAUUAUUUCCCUAAAAUUGGUGCUUGUGCUAUAUUCCUUCUUUGUUUACUUAGAUUAAAAAUUUUUUAAAGUAUUUUGAAAUAGGAAUGUCUACUUUUCAUUAGGAAAUUUAGCCCUCUGGAUCAUAAUGCCAUAAGCUAUGAACCAGGUUUUCUCAAAGUUAAACUCUCUCUCCAUUUUUCUUGAUUUGUUUGACUUAUAUCCAAGGAAUUAUGAUGCUAAUAAAUUACAUAAUGAUGUCACAUUAAUAAAUGGUACCUGUCACAGAACUGUUCACUUGGGAAAAAGCAGUUUAUACUCUGAUACAUAGAGAUUCUGCAGGUUUCAGCCAAUGUGGUUUUGUGCAAAGUUAUGUUAACUUUUUUUCUGAUAAAACAACAGAAACAUUUUCUUGCAGUUCUAGAGACUACAAGUCCAAGCUCAGGGCGCUGGCUGGUUGGUUCUCCUGUGGCCCCUCUUCUGGGCGUGCAGAUGGUUGCUUCCGUGACCCCACAUGACCAUUUCUCUCACUCUCUCUCUCUCUCUCUGUGUAUAUAAGGGCACCAGUCAUAUUGGAUAAUGUACCAAUUUUUAAAAUAAGAGAAAAAUGAAUAGCGCUAAGAGUAGGCAUUAUCUAUAUACCUAAAAGCCGAAACGACUGUGCGAUUGUUCGACCGGUAGCUAUGACAUGCACUAACCCCAGGGGGCAGACACUCAAUGCACAGGCAUGGAAACAUGGAACAGACUGA